UUAUGGUAACCCUAGGAAACCGAUGGAGUGUGGAAGAGUAAACCCUGGUGCCUCCAGUGUUCCCACAGAGUUUCUCUCCAGAGCCUCACAAGGGCAGUUCCUAAACUUGUUAAUGUGACUACAAAGAACCAUGGACCUCAAUGAUUCAUUCCACAAACAUUUAUUGACUUCAUCCAGGCACAAAUGACAAGGGCAAAAAAAUAAGCUCCCAAGUAGCUCAAAAUAAAUAAGACCCGAAGCCACAACAGUUUAAGGAAGACACAGGCACACAGAAUUAACUUCACUAUGAUGCAGUCUGAGGUGAGAUGUGGUAUGCAGAGUGGGUGAGGACCACACCGUGGCCAUGCAGACUUCCCUGGGAUGCAGGAGGACGGUCAGAUUGGAGGCCCAUCAUAAGCAGGUCUUUAGGAAAAAAUACAAGUGUGCCAGGUGGAUGACGGAGCUCAGACACUGCAGCAUCGGGAAGUUGAAAAAGGAAACUUGUGUCCCGAUGCAAACGAGCUCUAGAUUCUCUGGAAAGCAAAAAGGAGAGCGAGGAGAGGAAGUUUCUCCAAUUUCUUUACUUCCCACCUGCUGGUCUGUCUGAUUUCCUGUCCAGCUCUGUCUGGUAAGGAAUUGACUCUCCCCCUCCUCGCCCGCCCUCGCCCUCCUGCCUUCCUCCCUCUCCUCCCUGAGUAACGAUGCUGUCCUAGCAAGUGAUGCUGUCCCAGCAAGUGAUGCUGUCCCAGCCUCGAGGCCAGCACGGAGCAGGCAUCGCAGCCGCUGCCUCAGGGCCCGAGCUCCCUUCCCAGCGCCCGCGACCCGCGCUGCCCCAGGCUUGCUCCCCGCAGCCGCGGCCACCCCUGACCGCUUGCACGAGGGCCCCGCUGAGCGCUCCGCCCGCCUUCCCGCCGCGGGCUGCGGGGCUGCGGGGCUGCGGGAGCGUCGGCCGAGGAGCCCUGGGGCCGGCAGCCCGGAGCGCGGACCGCCGCCCGCGCGAUGUCCACCAAGGUCAGGAAGAGCAAGGAGCAGGCGAGGGUGACCUUCCCCGCGCCGGAGGAGCAGGAGGAGGAGAACAGGGAGGACGAGAGCGAGGAGCCGCAGCGCCGCCGCCAGGGCUGGAGGGGCGUCAACGGGGCGCUCGAGCCACCCCGCUCCUGCCCGCUGCCCCGCUCCGCGGGCCCAGACGAUCUUGAAGACUGCGAGAUGCAAAGAAGAUAAAGCGAGAGUUAUCAAUGUUACAGAGUGAGGUGUAAGACCGAGGGCCUUACCAAAUGCUCCGAGGAGCUGACUGCAGCGAAGAACACCCGGGAGGGAACACACCAGACAAGUUGGAAAAAUAAUAAGUACAUUCCGGGAACUCUGUGUCCUGUAGUGAACCCGAAACCCACAGGGACAAGAUGGAGGGCCUGUAACAAGAUGGCGUUACUUGUGCUAAGUCUCAUCUGGGUCUUACAGAGGGACUCUGUUUCUCCUGCCGCGCACCGUGGGCGUCCUGAAGGGUUUAAUGUCUUUCUCUAAGGAAGAGCCACAGACGUCCGUAGAAAACUUGGGGUCUAAACUUGGCCUUGAAGGGGAGAUGGUUCUCUCCGGGAGGGACCGAGAUUCUGCAGCGCCCCCUGCCGCCCUAAAACUGUCCACUGCCGGUCCGAGGCCUGUGGGGCGACCCAGGAGGGACCCCACCAGUCCCCUGCUUGCUGCUUGGCUGCCUCAGAGCCGCCGCCGCCGCCUGGCCGAGCUGCACUUGGAUAAACAGAAAUCUAAGGCUGGGAGUAGAUCCUACAGGAAAGGGCUUGGAUUUAAAAUAAGCGACGCAUCCUGAGGCGGUUUCAUUAUUGCUGAAGUUAGCACACGGAGUGUAAAUGGCCCAGAAAAUGGAGGAAAAGACCCGAUCCUUUGGGAUUAAAGCGCUGUCAGCUCGCUUCAACACCUCCCUAAGGUUUAUAAAUAUUGCCCAUUUUGCUUCUUG